ncrna:unclassified sequences RAGATH-18 RNA
ACUGUGGAGUGUACAAGAACCUGCGAGUAGCGCAUUGCUUGCAAUCGUCAAAGCAUACACGUUGAAGCAGUAA